CUCCUGGAAACGGGUGGUAAUGCCGGAUGCUCCGGUUGGAUGCAUGUCCUUCCGGGAAAGAUUCCAUCGGUAUGGGAUGGGGUCGCGUCCUAUCAGCUUGAUGGCGGGGUAACGGCCCACCAUGGCUUCGACGGGUAGCCGGCCUGAGAGGGCGACCGGCCACAUUGGGACUGAGAUACGGCCCAGACUCCUACGGGAGGCAGCAGUGGGGAAUAUUGCACAAUGGGCGCAAGCCUGAUGCAGCGACGCCGCGUGCGGGAUGGAGGCCUUCGGGUUGUAAACCGCUUUUGAUCGGGAGCAAGCCCUUCGGGGUGAGUGUACCCUUCGAAUAAGCACCGGCUAACUACGUGCCAGCAGCCGCGGUAAUACGUAGGGUGCAAGCGUUAUCCGGAAUUAUUGGGCGUAAAGGGCUCGUAGGCGGUUCGUCGCGUCCGGUGUGAAAGCCCAUCGCUUAACGGUGGGUCUGCGCCGGGUACGGGCGGGCUGGAGUGCGGUAGGGGAGACU
rnacentral:rRNA from 1 species